AACUUACAUUGAGAGCCAAUGACUACCAAAACAUUACAUCUUCUUCUUCUACUUAUACAAGUGAAGAAAAAAUGGAUAUACAUAAGAGAAUAGUUUUUUUUUUAUUUAAAGGUCUUUGACUUAAUUCUGUUCUACAAUCUCCAAACGAUUUGAGAUUAAUCUUUCUUCUACCAUAAUUUCCCCACUUUUAGAACUGUUGAGCAUGUCUUCCGUAUCUUAAUUUUUAAACAUGUCUGAAUAUUAUUCCCCAAUCAACUAAUAAUUAGUUCAAUAGUUUAUUGUAUAAUAUUAUUGAGAGAACCGAAGAUCGACCGAGAUCGAUGGUCGAUAUAAUUGACCAAAAAUAUUAAAAUCAUGAAGAUCGAGAAGGAUUUAGAAGAUUAUCAUAUCGUUAGUUUAGAAAUAUUUACAUAAUAUUUAUCUCCAUAUAUAUCGAUGUAUCUUUGAACAUUAAUUUUAUGAGAGUCUAUUAUAAUUCUUGCUAGACACCUUUGUGUUAUUUACUCUCAUCAAAUUUAUCAAAUAUCUAUAUAUGACUGUCAAAUUCUUCAGAUUUCUUAAGAAUGUAACUAAACCUAGGCAAAGGCAUUACAAAAAAAAGUAUUAUAAUACCAUCAUUUACUUAUGUUUAUUUUUUGUACGAGUUAUUCUUUUUACACAUAUUAAUGAAAAAUUGAUUAAUCAUUUAUUCUUAUUAUCAGGUAUAACAAUGCAUAUAAAAUCUGGACCAUCUCUACCAUGUGGAGCUCCCCCCUCUGCGGCGAAGGCAAAAUGUCGACUAAUUCGGCACCCUCAUCAGCAUCCUCCCACCCCUCCUUCUCAUCCUCCCCCUCAUCGACAUUUCAACAAGAAGUUGAAAUACUAAUGUUUUAAGCCAGCGAAAGACAAAUACUAGGAAAGAAACUUCGCAGUAGUUUGAAAAAAUUACGAGAAUCUACACUUGUGAACUUGAUGGACUUGCUUUUGCUUCUCUAGUGUUAAUAUUUAUUAGAUAGUGAUUAGAGCUCUCGUCAAGUGGCUCAUUAUUUCAUUAAGAAGAAAAAAAAAACACUAAAUUUAGAGUUGUUUGAAACUUUUUCGUCUAGAUUUUUUAUGCAUAUUAAAAAGAAAAGUUACAUUUUUUUGAAGGAGGUUAAUUCUAUCUUAAAUUCACAGCUACUAACCAAUGAAACGAGUCACUAGCUAUCGUUCUGAGUAUUUUUUAUGUUCUCCCUCGUAAUUUGUAUUGAUGCUUACGGUGCAUUUUUUAUUUUAUGAUUUAUCAUUUUGCAAGCUUAAUAAAUCUGGAAUUAUGCC
rnacentral:lncRNA from 1 species